GUCAAACUUGAGUAAGGAAAUAUACGAUCUGCGGAUGCGAGUAGAAAAGUGCGAGAUUCAGGGAAAUAAAAAUUCUGAAGAAAUAAAACUUCUUGAGAAGAAAUGUACGACUGAACUUUCAAGAUUUUAUAUUAAAGAAGAGGAGAAAAUUCCCUAUGUCUUCACUGCACCCCCACGAAAUCGUUAUUUCGCUGGUCGAACUGAAGAAAUCCAAGAGCUUAAAGGUAUUUUGAAAGUUGAGGAAACGUCGAACGAGAAGAAAGUUCGUAUCGCAGCAGUUUGUGGUUUGGGUGGAAUUGGUAAAACAAGCUUAGUUUCCGAAUAUGCUCAUCAGAUGAAGGAUUUCUACAAGGGAGGUGUUUAUUGGUUCUCGGCUGAAGAUGAUAAGCAUCUUAGCAAAACUGUGAACGCCGUCGCAGUAAAGAUUGGUGCAUUACUCAAUUCAUUUGAUUUAACUUUGCCAAAUAUCCUGAGAAAAAUUAGCGCUAUACAUGACCCAUGUCUUAUAGUCCUCGACUGCUUGGAUCAACUGGAUCUUUCGUCUGAUGUGAUGGAAUUCCUUUCCUUUCCUUCAAAAGAGAAUAUCUUUGGGCAUUUUAUCGUGCUAACAAGACGAAACCCGAAACGACUUGUUAAUGAAGUUUCAGUUGUUGAGGAGGACUUUUGUAUUCAACUGCAAUGUUUGCAAUCUGAAGAAGCGAAGCAAUUUCUUUUUUCAAGAACUAAUGUAAUCCGUGAUGAAAAUGUCGAGAGUGUUGCUGAAUAUCUUUGUGAAGAGCUGGGGAGACUGCCACUUGCUUUAGAGCAAGCUGGAGCAUAUAUUCAAAUGUGCAGUU